UGGACAGGAUGGAGCUUCAGUCUGGACAGGAUGGAGUUUCAGUCUGGACAGGAUGGAGUUUCAGUCUGGACAGGAUGGAGUUUCAGUCUGGACAGGAUGGAGUUUUAGUCUGGACAGGAUGGAGCCUAACUGUGGAAAAACAGAAACUGACUGAUACACACAUUACAAUGACAAAUCAAUGACCAGAUUGUCAACCAGCUCCAGCUACUCAGCAUCACUCUGACUAUUUGUGCUGGUUGUCUUCUGUCUCAGCUGAAGGGAGGACAUUGUGUUUUAAAGUCUUUUCUUUCUGUCCUGAAGUAGGCCUACCUGCUUAAUACACACAGACUUUCAUAUAGGUAAAGCAAAGGCAUGCUAUGACUUAACUCUACCUUCAUAUAUUGGGCUGCCUUUAUCCCAAUAGUUUCACAGUUUAAAAACGUGUGUUUUCAAAUGACUGUAUGCUACAUUGAUCUUUGGAUCACACUUGGAAUGUGAAAGGUUUCCUAGUGUUAGUUUUAGGUCUCCCUGAAGUCCGUAGACUUCCACUCUAUUAGUUACCCUAGAACACAGUCAACGAGCCUAACGGAGAUGUGUAUUCAUUAGGGAUAUACUGUAGCUAAAUGUUUAAUGGAGGGCUACGCUAGCGUUUCUUGGACCAAUUCAGAAAUUGGUACACAAGAAGGAGUAGCACUAGUCUUUUUAGGAUUAAGUGAAAAUAGGGAGACAAUGUAUUUAUAUUAAGGGUUUAGUCUUUGAAUGGUGGAUUUGUGCAGAUUCCCUUGGCCUUCCUUCCUGUUUAACUCUUGAUGUCUGGUCUUGCUGUAGAGACUGAACACAGCAGGAUUAUUGUUAGACUUUUUUUUGUUUUCUUAACUAUUUUACGACGUAUUCAUUGACGAAACGAACUCCACUACAAAUACAAGCCUCUAUAGAAGAACCUCUGAUCCUUUUUUAGUUAGAAAUAAAAAGACAAAGAUGUUUUAUUUUCUAAGAGUAUGUAGCAUUAGUGAAAUAACCUACUAUGAUGGAUCAUAUUUUUAAUUUUUUAUCAGUGGGCUAUUUUGUUUUUUUUUGUUCCUUUUUUUGUGGAAAGAUUUAGAGACUGUAUCCAGACCUGUCUUACUCUUACCAAUAUGUUCCUUUUUUGUGGAAAGAUUUAGAGACUGUAUCCAGACCUGCCUUACUCUUACCAAUAUGUUCCUUUUUUGUGGAAAGAUUUAGAGACUGUAUCCAGACCUGCCUUACUGUUACCCACAUGUUCCUUUUUUUGUGGAAAGAUUUAGAGACUGCAUCCAGACCUGCCUUACUGUUACCAAUAUGUUCCUUUUUUUGUGGAAAGAUUUAGAGACUGUAUCCAGACCUGUCUUACUCUUACCAAUAUGUUCCUUUUUUGAACAGGGAGUUAUUCUACCAUGAACUAAGAUUCUUUUUACGUAUUUUUUUUUAUUUUUUAAAGGAUACUUCCUCUGACAUUCUUAGAGCUGUCAUUUUAUUGUGAGGAACUGCAGUUCGAUCGGAAUAGUUGUUCUGUUUUUGUCCUCUGUUUUGUGAGUGACCCUCUCACUCAGUCAACUCGUCUCAGUGCACAAGUCUCCCCUUCUCCAGACACCGCGUAUGAAUCAGAAUCCGUAGCUAGUUGUGACACGUGAGCCUCUGGAUGAAAAGCAGAGUAUCCCUAAAGCAGCGUGGUCGUAUCAGCCCCCCAUGUUGGACUAAACUCUACACAAGUGAAAACCCCAAAUCCCUAAAGAUCCUCUAUUUGCCAAACUAGAGGGACAUGAAGUCUGACUCCUUCCUCAACAUUUGGACCUGCCCUGAGGAUGUUGGACACCACUGUUACACCUUCAGCCUUGUUGAUUUCCUGUCAGACUGGUCGUUUUUCAACUCCAUUCCACGGACGGACUGACCUGAAAUUUUACCAGAACAGGAACACAAUGUUCAACAGACUCUCUCCUCACCAGUGGGACUGACUACUGAGACUGGUCGUCUUUGAACUCAAGAGGAACACAAUGUUCAUCAGACUCUACUCAGACUGGUCGUCUUUGAACUCAAGAGGAACACAAUGUUCAUCAGACUCUACUCAGACUGGUCGUCUUUGAACUCAAGAGGAACACAAUGUUCAU